CCCUUAGAGUUUGAUCAUGGCUCAGAUUGAACGCUGGCGGAAUGCUUUACACAUGCAAGUCGAACGAUGAACCUUAGCUUGCUAGGGGGAUUAGUGGCGGACGGGUGAGUAAUAUAUCGGAACGUGUCCAUUAAUGGGGGAUAACUAAUCGAAAGGUUGGCUAAUACCGCAUACGCCCUGAGGGGGAAAGCUGGGGAUCUUCGGACCUGGCGUUAAUGGAGCGGCCGAUACCUGAUUAGCUAGUUGGUAGGGUAAUGGCCUACCAAGGCAACGAUCAGUAGCUGGUCUGAGAGGACGACCAGCCACACUGGGACUGAGACACGGCCCAGACUCCUACGGGAGGCAGCAGUGGGGAAUUUUGGACAAUGGGGGAAACCCUGAUCCAGCCAUUCCGCGUGAGUGAAGAAGGCCUUCGGGUUGUAAAGCUCUUUCGCAAGGGAAGAAAAGAUAUAGGUGAAUAGCUUAUGUUGAUGACGGUACCUUGACAAGAAGCACCGGCUAACUACGUGCCAGCAGCCGCGGUAAUACGUAGGGUGCAAGCGUUAAUCGGAAUUACUGGGCGUAAAGCGUGCGCAGGCUGUUUUGUAAGUCAGAUGUGAAAUCCCCGAGCUCAACUUGGGAACUGCGUUUGAAACUACAAGACUAGAAUAGGUCAGAGGGGGGUAGAAUUCCACGUGUAGCAGUGAAAUG
rnacentral:rRNA from 1 species